AUAAAUAACAAUGGUUGAGACAGAUGGCGAGAGUGGGUGUCCCCCCCCCCAUUUUGUUGGUAUAGGUUACUGCCGUGACAUUGUCCAUUAGAAGGAGUCCCUGGGCUUUUGCCUUGGAUUUGGUAAAACAUUUGACUGCUAAGGACUCUGCUAGGAGCUCUAGCAGUUUAUGUGAUGUAGCGACCAUCUCGCGCCUGUUAACACUAAAAUAAAACAACUAACUAAUUUUUACUAGUUUU